GCCCGGUUAGCUCAGUUGGCAUCACAUGGGACUCUCGAUACCAGGAUCGUGGGUUUGAGCCCCAGCUACUGGGGG